UACGUAGGUGGCAAGCGUUGUCCGGAUUUAUUGGGUUUAAAGGGUGCGUAGGCGGCCCUGUAAGUCGGUGCUGAAAUCCCCCGGCUUAACCGGGGGGGUGGCAUUGAUACUGCAGGGCUUGAGUACAGAUGAGGUAGGCGGAAUUGACGGUGUAGCGGUGAAAUGCUUAGAUAUCGUCAAGAACACCUAUAGCGAAGGCAGCUUACUAGGCUGUAACUGACGCUGAGGCACGAAAGUGUGGGGAUCAAACAGG
rnacentral:rRNA from 1 species